AAGGGCGAUCUUCAGAUUCAGAUUCAGAUUCAAUUUUAAUUGUCAUUGUCAGUGUACAGUACAGAGACAACGAAAUGCAUUUUCUUAUAGAGUUGUAUAAAAUCUUGCGGGGAAAUAGAUAGGGUGUAUGCACAGGUAUUUCUUUCCUCAAAGUAGAAUAAUCUGAAGGGCGAAGGCUUAAGGUGAGAGGGGAACCCUUUAAUAGGGAACCUGGCGGUUAACAUCAUCACACAGAGUGGUGGGUUUCUGGAACAAGCUGUCCGGUGUGGCAAAUAAAUUGGGUACAAUAAUAACGUGUCAUAGAGUUGUAGAGUGAUACAGUGUGGAAAUAGGCCCUUCCGCCCAACUUGCCCACACAGGCCAACAUGUCCCAGCAGCACUCGUCCCACCUGCCCGCGUUUGGCACAUACCCCACCAAUUCUGUCCUAUCCAUGAACCUGUCUAACUGUUUAUUAAACGUUGGGAUAAUCCCAGCCUCAACUACCUCCUCUGGAAGCUUGUUCCAAACACCCAUUGUGUGAAAAGUUACCCAUUAGAUUCCUAUUAAAUCUUUUCCCCAAAAGACAUUUGGACAGUGUGGUUUAGAGAUAUUAAGGUCAAUGUGGAUUGAUGGGGGAUUUUGGUUAGGUUGAACCAAAGGGACUAUUUUUUGCUCUGUAUUUAAGACGACUGUUAACAUCCACUUGCCCCAGAAUGUCAGCUCAGAAUGCUGCCAGCUAUUCCCAACCUGUGGUUUUCUCAAUUAGAAAUUGCUCUGCAACCGGGAAUUUUUUUUUUCAGGUGGGAAAUUAACUCAAGUGGGCAAGGUCCUCAAAAGACUUUGGCCAGGCACCAAAUCAAAGAAAGAUGGCCAGAACACAGGAACAACGACAGAAAAGCAAAGUCGGAUUGAGAGCAGAACCUCGGUGGAAUGUGAAGCCGCCGAAGAGGAAAGGGAACAAUGUCAGUCCCGAGAGAGUGGAACAGGAGACGUGGUUCACGGCCCUGGAACUGACCCAAGUGGGGAAAUCCAUCAUGACCGAGUUUCAUCUAACAAGGAAUCAUCGAGUCUCAUCCAAGGAGCAGAACAGCAGAAUAUGGUAACACCUAUCCACACCACGGCUGAAGUUGGAAACAAGACUGUGGCUCCAGUGACCUCAACAACAAGGACGGACACAGAUCUAACGUCUGCAUUCUCUGAGCUCCUGACACAGUGGAGCGAGUACCAAUUGUUCCAGCUGACAAAAUUCUAUCGGGAGAGACUGAAACAGGCG